GCUAAUAGCCCAAGUAAGUUUCUUCUGCAUAUAGUGAAAAUAUAGAAAAAAUAAAUAAAUUCUCUGUUCAGCUUCAAAUUUCAAUACAUACUCUUCCCUGGAAUAGGAAUGAAGAAAUUAAAAUUCAUUGGGAACCCACUUCUACAAAGACUGCCAUCAAUAGGUGAAAAAAACCAGGCUGGGAUCGUCGGUGCGGCUAACUCCCCAUGAGGUAAUUGAUCAGAUAGAAGAAACCAAGUUUUGAGACUCUGCUGAAACUUCCGAAAGUUUGCUCCCGGUCCACCUCUUUAGCAUCUCCAGAGCAGCUUUGGGUUGAUCCAUAGGGACCAUAUGGCCAGCAUCAUGGACCUGUUGGCCGAACCGAAUAUAUAAGUCGAGGUAUUUAAUAUUUGACUUCUAAGAUUUUAGAGUUGCAUAGAUGGAAACAGGAGAGGCCUAAAGAGUCCACUACCUUGAGGAAACUGAGAGGACCGUGAGUUUUGAGCACUCCUGCAGCAGAACCAUCAACUUCGAAAGGAAUUUCAGAUGAUCCUCCGAAUUCUUUCUGACCACUCCAUUCCAUGGCAUGAACCCAUCUUGAAUUUCCUGUGCCCGGAAGAAGUUCAAAUAAUCAUCAUAUAAAAUAUCCACUCACAACAUACUUUUCAAGCCAGUAAAUCUAUAAUGUUGCCAGGAGAACUAUUAGUUUCAGAAGAAUUUACGAUACUUACCAAGCCAAUUGCAAAUAAGAUCAUAUUCCCCAGCAUAUAUGAGUACUUUAAUUCCGUCCUCCAGAAGUGCAGGAAUGCCAGCUUCUAGAUUCCUCAUCCAGUCGACGAGCAUAGCUUGAUACACAGUAGGGCUACAAGAAACAAAGUCUAUAUCCCCAACGCCAAGUGACUCUCUCACUGACUUCUUGUUCAAGAAUUUUUCUGCAUUUGAAAAAUCGUAACACAGCCUCCCCUCACACUUUUUCCGGAUGUCAUAGUACUGCAGAUGAAUCAAACGAAAUUAUCAACUCUUCUGUGCUUUGGCUAAUCUUUCGAUAUUAUGCUUACAUUAGUAUCACCAGCAAGUGCCAUUAUGGAGUUGAAUAUGGAGCUGCAUACAUAGUAAGAAGCCAUACAAGCGAUUGUUCCAUCUGUGCCUGCAGGAAGAUUACAUUCUUAAUGCGAGGAAGAUGUGCAUGAAAAGGGUAUAAAUGAGAAAAUGUGAGCAGGGUCAAAUUACCACAAAGCUUUAUCGCAGUUUCACAAACUGGAAGCACUUUGUUUAUGCGUUCAUAGUCGGACUUUUUGAUUAUAGACAUAUCCAAUGCAUAAUCCGAGUAAGCUUUGUACUGAAUCUCUGGAUUAGUAAGGCCGUUGCCAAUCGCAAAUCCCUGGAAGUUAUCUCCGAAACUGAGCAUCAAAUUGGAAUGUAUGUCGAUACUGUAAGACCAAAGAUAACAAUUAUCGCGAGGACGCACCUUGAGAUUUAUGUGAGCUCCUUGUUUAGCCUUGUUUCCAUGGUGUACUCUAGCAGCAAAUGCAGGAAUGUAGUGUCCAGCAUAUGAUUCUCCGGUAAUAUAGAAAUCGUUUUUCGCAAACUGAGGAUGCUCCACGAAGAAAGCCUGGACGAGGUAUUAACAACAAGAUGAACAAGUUUUCUUUAAAAAGUAUUAACCUUGCUACCUCUGUUCAGGCACGGUACCUGCAAGAAGUCAUAGAGGUCAUUGCUAACGCCAUCUUCGUUGUGGCGAAUGUCUCGCUUAUCAGAGCUGUAACUGAAACCUGUCCCAGUAGGUUGGUCGACAUAAAGAAGGUUUGAUACCUGCAUAUAUAUCAUUUAUAAGUUAUUACAAUCUUCGCUUCAAAACUUGGAAGCAUCAAGAGAAGAAAAACUAUAUCAAGAAACAGAGUUUGUUGUUACAAAUCAUCGGAGAAAAAUCCGACACCAGGAGCAUUACCUUGUCCCAUCCAUACUCGUUCCACACGAGAGACAUGUUUUUCGCGAUACUGAAGGGUCCAUUUUCAUAGAAGAGAGCCAACUCACUGCUACACCCAGGUCCCCCAGUCAGCCAGAUAACAACAGGGUCGUUCUUGCUGUUACGCGAUUCAAAGAAGAAAUAGAACAUCCUACAGGCAACACGACACCAGAAAUUUAAAAGAGACGAACACAAAGAGGCAACAGAAGUUAAGUAUGUAGUUCGAGUUGAAUUUUUGAACGGUGACACUAAUCAGACGAUAUCAAGAGGGAAAUCAAAUCUGAUACCAAACCUUGUCCAUCCGGCUAAACUAAUCGAACUUAUUGAAAAUCUGAAAAAUCACGACUUGGAUAUAACAAAACCCUAAAGAUCGUAGUAGACUUAUGAUAGUAGACUUAUGAUUUUCAGUGAGCGGCCUGCCAGGCCAUAUCUACUAUCCCAAAGCAAAAUACCAAAGCCUACGCUCUGCUCCCGAGUUAUAAAAGAGGAGGAAAGUAAGUGAAAGGAAGUAAAAUUAUAUAACUUUUGCUCUUA